UACGAAGGGGGCGAGCGUUGUUCGGAUUUACUGGGCGUAAAGGGCGCGUAGGCGGCCGAUCAAGUCAGGCGUGAAAGCCCCGGGCUCAACCUGGGAGGUGCGCUUGGGACUGGUUGGCUUGAGUUCGGGAGAGGAGAGUGGAAUUCCCAGUGUAGAGGUGAAAUUCGUAGAUAUUGGGAAGAACACCGGUGGCGAAGGCGGCUCUCUGGACCGAGACUGACGCUGAGGCGCGAAAGCUAGGGGAGCAAACGGG
rnacentral:rRNA from 1 species